AGUCCAAAAUGUCCCUUUGUGGUCACAGUCCUCUCCACAGUCUGCUCAGUGCCACCUCCUCUGGCACCCCAGGUGCUGAGGAUCAUCCCCUUUGCCGUACACGCGUCCAUGUUACCUGUGGGGACUGUGUGGUGUGGGAAGGAAACUCCCUCCGCCUGCACCUCCUGUGUGCCCCAGGCCUUCAUGGAAUCCCAGGUCUCUCCAGAGAGUUGCUUUUUUGGGUGGUCUCUCCUGGAAUUCCUGCUGGGUUUUUAUAGUCAUUCCUCUCCCCAUUCCCCACAGACCUCCUCCCCCUCUUCCUUUCUGUUUUGCCACCAUACCAGAUGUUACUUUUACCACAGGGCCUUUUCCCUGUUUACAGAGAAAACCAAAGCCAUCAGGAGGAACUCCACCAACAUGGAAUCCAACGUAUUGAUUGUUACGUCUUGCGGAAAUAUGGGAGACAGCAAGUGUUCUUCCCCUUGGCAGCAAGAGUUGAAUCCAUUAACAGUACUCAGCUCCAAUCUGUAAACCUGUGCUCCUAAAGUCUGCCUGAUGGUGCCUCUACAGACUUACCAACACCAGUGGUCCAGCAUCUGCUCCUCAGAGGUUUGGGUCCUAGUUCUGGAAGUCUUUUCAAAGAAUCUUCUCUUUGUUCUCUCAACCCUAGAGGUGGUAGCUGCUUCCCACUGUUACUAUCUUUGUGAUACUUCAGGCCCCCUUUUGCCUUUUUUGUCCUUUAUAACUGAUUAACAACCAUUUACAUAAAAUUCUUUAUGGUGAAUUUCAGCAGACCGACACACCCUUAGACCUACCUGUGCCAUGUAUAUUGGAC
rnacentral:lncRNA from 1 species